CUGCCUACCUGGAUACCUGCAACGCGCCCAAAUCGUAUCACAAUCGUGCCAGCUGGCAUGGUCUAAAGACCCGCCUAGGUAUACAUCUUAUUGUGCCUACCUUAUGCUUACAUCAUGCCUGCCUGCCUCUACGUCCACCUAUCUGCAUAAGUGCCUGAAGCAUGCCUACAUUAUGCUAGUCUAUGUACGUUUACCUAGUUUACACUUGCUUCCUACUUUGCACUUGCACCUCGCUGCCUAUGCACAUGUAUGGAUGUAUACCUCAUGUUUGCCUUGUGCCCGCCUACAUCCGCGCCUACC
ensembl:ncRNA Y55F3C.14 ncRNA